rnacentral:misc_RNA from 1 species
UGAUCAACUUAGCCAGGACAUCCAUAGCUUGUGACAAUCUGACUAUAUCAUUUUCAGUCUUAUUUGAUGAUUCACACAUUCCUUGUUAUAACAACCCUCGGUAUUCUUUUAACAAACUUACGAUGACUAUAUUGUAUUAGUGUCAACCUCAUCGCCAGGAACUUUUCAUUGAAAAUCUUCUGACAAAUUUUCUGUGUAAAGGAAAGAAAAUGGAGUAUAAAAUCGAAAGUUUAUUCCAAUUGUGCUAGGCUGUAAUGGCUUUCUGGUGGGAUGGGAUACGUUGAGAAUUCUGGCCGAGGAACAAAUCCUUCCUCGCGGCUAGACACGGAUUGCACGCCCUUUGGGCAAGGGAUAGUUCUCUAUUCCGCACCGUGCCCUGUUGUGGCAACCGUCUUUCCUCCGUCGUAAAUUUGUCCUGGGCAGAGCUGUCUGCCCGGAGGCGGGAGAGUCCGUUCUGAAGUGUCCCGGCUAUAAUAAAUCGAUCUUUGCGGGCAGCCCGUUGGCAGGAGGCGUGAGGAAUCCGUCUCUCUGUCUGGUGCGGCAAGGUAGUUCUGGGUCCUUAGGGGCUCCACCUUCACCGCUGUUAGGGGAGUUUUAUCCAGCGUCAGCAAAGGUGACCCGUGAUGGAGGCGGCCGGGAUAGCACAUAUCAGUCGGAUAAUUGUGCAAGUUGAUC